rnacentral:lncRNA from 1 species
GGAGAAUGAUGCUGAAGCUGGUGUGGUGCGAGCUGACGAACAAGCGCGGAUUCUGGACCAUGUCUUCUCCAAAGGACGUCAACACCAGGUACAACAGCAACCUCACCUUUGUUCUUCCUCUUCCUGUAAAGGGUCGUGCACACAAGGUGUUCGGUCUUUUGUCGUUGCAAGUUUUGCAAAGGAAAAAGGGGACAGGGGCAUAGUUACUAAUCAAAGUAGACGGCGUUUAACGCUAGCACCACGAUUAGCACCCGCAGAGCAACUUUGCAGCACGAAGAAGGUACAGUCAGUAUUGGCCAGGGAAAAUUUUGAAGAUUCAGAAGUUUUAAGGGAAAGAGGAGGAAUGGAAAAGGAGGAACAGAGUGAGAGAGAGAAGAAGCAAUUCAAAAAAUCGCAGGAUCCUUUGCAAGGUCUCCGAAGGAACGAGACUGGCUCUCGAUUCUGGGCCUUAGCGAAUGAGGACAGUUCUGACGAGGAGGAGGAAAGGGAGGAAGAAAGUGAUAAGAUGAAAAUGGAAAGUAUAGUGGCUGAGGAGAGAAGCUGUUCUUUCCUCUUCUUCCCUAGAGGAAAGAACAGAACUCUCUAGCAGUGGAUCUAGAGAAAAGGGAAUAAAAUUAGUUAAGAAGCAGGAAAGCAAAGAUAGAAGAAAGGGCAAAGACAAAAAACCUGGACAUAUGAUCAAACCAUGGAAAGGCUCUUUACCUCAGAGAAAUUACCCUUUGAAAAUGUCACUAGGUGACAUCAGGGUAAAAGAUCUGCGUGAGGUGGCCCAUCCAUUGGAUCAGAGAAGUCUAGAUAUUUUUUUGGAGGAAGAAUUAAAAGUUAUGUAUGAGGAUAACUACAUAGGGGAGGCUGAUUCAGUGAAGUUAAGGAUGAACACAUUGGAGAAGAAGUGCUCAUCAAAGAAGACGGAGUUUGAAUUCAAAUUUCAAAAAGUUCCAAAGAUUAAAUCAGGGAAAUCAAUAACCUGGGUGGGUAAAACUGGUUUCAUUCAUGUGGGACCACGUGCAGUUUUCCAAUGUACAAAUGGUUUAAGUCAGCUUCUUAAUAAUGGAGGGAAGCUCAAAAGGCAAGACAUUAAAUGUCUGCCCAAGAAUCAAGGGGGUGUUUGGGCUGCCUGGGGUAAAGGGGCGCCAGCCUCUGUGAUUAAUAGCAACUCAUCUGUGCAACAAGCACCCUUUGACAUUCUAACCACAGCUGUCGAGUGUCACAGAGAGAGAACAGAUUGUCAGGAGGAAGAGGAAGAAGGAAAAAUGUUGAGGAGAGGGUUUGGCACAAGAGGAAUAUCAGGAGCUAGGGGAGCACAUGACGAUCAGUUUAACCAGGACCGACUAGAAAUGGGAGCACAAAGAGAAGAUUCAGGAGGCGUCUGGCACUUUGGAGGAAAUCAGAGAAGACAGAUGGAAGCCAGAGCAGGUGGCAGGGAAGGGGCAGGAGAUGGGUAUGGAAGAAGAUUUAUAUCAAGAGAUGGGUCAGGCAAUGAGAGGAAUAGAGAAGGGCAACAACAAGGUUUUGGGAGUCAGAGAGGUCUGCAGGGGCCAGGAGGAUCAAGGGUGGACGUGAGGGUGGAGUCCCUGAGAGGCAGAGGGGGAUGGCGUAGGUGGCAGGAGCGUCCACAAAGAGCAGAAGUGGUGAAGGAAGAGGAUAAAGGAAAGAAGGUGAUAACACGUAAUGGUGAACAGAAAGAAGGAUCGAGGGGGAAAGAUGGGAUGGAUUUCCAGAUGACAGUAGAUGGACUUGGAGAAGAAGAGAAAGGAGAUGACACCAAGUCAGGGAUCAAGUGCUCAAAAUGUGUAAAGAAAGGACAUGUGGCUGCCACGUGCACUAAUCCAGUUUACUGUGUUAUCUGUAACGGUGAUGACCACGUCAAUCACAAAUGUUUGCUGCUAAAGCAGUCUAGGCCAGUGGCACACGCGGUGGGAUACGCUGUCCAUGGGCUUGGUUUCUACCACAUUCCACAUCCACCGCUGUCUAGGAGUAAAAAAGAAUCCAAGAAGGCCCUAAUUAGGGUGGGAGGAGGGAAACUAACCAAGGAGCAGGUGGUUUCACAACUGCAAAGGUUGUACCCAGGAAAGUGGAAUUGGGAACUGGAAGACAAUGAAGAUAACACCUUCAUCACUACAUUUCCCUCAAAAUCUGAACUUCAAAGGGCAAUAGCUUUUGGAGGGGCUGAUGUUAGAGAAGAUGGAGUUUAGACAGGUGUGAGGCUACAAUUUGAAACUUGGCAAGAGAAAGAAGAGGGAUUCCUUUUACCUAAAGUUUGGGUGAGAGUACACGGGCUGAGAAAAUCUCUAAGGCCCCGUUUGGGUCCAAGGAAUUGGAAUCUAUUUAAUGAAGUAGGCUAAUUUAUGUUGGAAUGUGGCAUUUCACGACUUUCCAAAGUUUAGAUAUAAGCCUAUCUUAAAUUCAUGGGGUGGGAGAUGGAAAUUGAUUCUAUAGAUUAUAGUUAUUAGAAUGGAAUUCAAUUCUUAUAGCACGCUCUUAGACUCGCUUCUCUACAGUAGAAGUGCAGCAUACAAGUAUCUCUCCCAUAUCACCAACUAUAAUAUACAACUAUAUUCCACAUACAAUUAUAUUAGCUUAAUUAAUUUGUGUCUAAAUUAUGAUUAUUAGGAUGGAAUUCAAUUCCAAUGAUCCAAACGGGGCCUAAGGGAGUAUAUGAAUUUGUGGGCAAUAGGUUCAUUGUUGGGAUCUACCCAAACCAUGGAUAUGGAGAUGACUAGAAAAAAUGAAUUUGGAAGAAUAUGUGUGGCAGCCCUUAACCCCUUGCUUAUCCCCUCACAUUUAGAUGUGGUGAUAGGGGAUCACUACUUUGAACUAGAAUUUGAGGUGGAAAGGAGGGGACUGAUGAGAAUGGAGAGGAAGCAAAUUUUGAUUGGAAGGGAGAUGCAGAAGGAGAGGAUGAGGGAGAGGGCAGUGAGGAUGGCUUAUUGCAGGAUGACCCAGAUAUGAUCAGGGAAAUAAAAAGAAGGAAAAAUGAUAGUGAGGUCAAGGAGAAGGAAGAUAGCAGUACAGAAUAUAGGCAGGAGGAGCAGGGAUGGACAGAUAAAGAAUCAUGGAAAGAUAAAGUUCAGAAGAUGAGUGAAAUGGAGUUUAAUCUAUUUCUUAAGGAAAAGGCAGAAGAAAUAAUGGAUAGAGCAGUGGACAAAACUUUGGAGGUUUUGACAGAUCAGGUUAUGACUGACCAGAAUGAAAAUAAUGAGGGGAAGAGCAGCUGGGAGGAGGAAGAGGGAACAGAUGAACUGAAGAAGAGGGCUGCAAUUCAUGAGACAGUAAUGACGCCAACAAGGGUUAGUCCAAGGUUGGCUAACUCAGGAGAUGAGCAUAUUCUUGCUAAGACAGAGAAGAUGGCUGCUAGGAAAAAUCUGGAGCUCAAAGAAGGUAAUUAUGAAACUGAAGUCUCCUUUCAUUUUCCUUUAGAUAAUGUUAUCUGUAAUGUUAGUCAACUAGGGGUUAGGUUGGGAGAGAGUGAAAAAGAGAAGGAAAGGGUAGUACAAGAAAUUCUCACAGUACAAAAGAAAGACAUAGAUCUGCCUGUAGAGGUAAAUAAUCAAGAUGAGAGUAACCUGUACAGUGACAUGGAGGAGGAGAGGGAAGAAAUAGAAAGUAGUCAAAUUCAGAACCUUUGUGGGGAACUUUUGGAAAAGGUUUUUGACGAUGAUUUUAGUUACAUGGAUUUUUACUCUAAGAUGGGUAAUCACAAGUCUUGUGCUAAGUCACGAAAGAGAAAGACUUGUAAGGUCAGACUACCCAAAGUCAAUAUCGAUAUGGUUUCCAAAUGAGAGGAAUCUUCUGGAACAGCAGAGGUCUUAGUGACUUGGCUAAAAAAAGAUUCCUUUUAGAAACAUCUAAAGAGCAGAACUUAGCUUUCAUUGCUCUUCUAGAAACAGGAAAAAGAGACUUUACCCAAGCCACUCUAAGUAAUUUGUGUGGGGGGAAAAACUUUAUCUGGCAUUGGACUGAACCACAUGGAAGAUCAGGGGGUAUCCUCCUAGGUGUGGAUCUAGAUGAGUUAGACGUUGGUAGUAUUGAUGAAGGAGACUUUUAUGUGAAGUUCAAAGUAAGGACAAGAAAAGAUAAUUUCCAGUUUGUGUUGGUGGCUGUUUAUGGAGCAGCACAACCAGCUUUUAAAGAAGCUUUCUUGACCGAAAUGGUGCAGGCCUGUAGAAAAGAGAACCUUCCUAUUGUCCUUGGGGGAGAUUUUAACAUCAUAAGAAACCCAAGUGAAAAGAACAAUGAAAGGUACGAAGACAAAUGACCCUUUCUUUUUAACGCUAUCAUAGAUAGCUUAAAUUUAAAGGAGAUACAUAUGUCAGGAAGAAAGUACACUUGGGCUAAUUCCUUAAAAAAUCCAACAUAUGAGAAAUUGGAUAGGGUGUUGGUUAGUACAGAGUGGGAAGAGAAAUUUCCUUUAGCUACGGUUGAUGCAUUGAGCAGGGAAAUCUCAGAUCAUACACCCUUAUUGCUUAGUACUGGACAGGAAGGGGUGAGAAGGAGCCAACACAUGUUUAAGUUUGAACUAAGCUGGCUUUUGAGGAAAGAUUUCCUUGAGAUAGUAGCUGAUGUGUGGAGUAAGGAAAGAAAAGGUUCCAAUCCUAUGCAGAAAUGGCAAAAUAAGAUUAGGAGGUUAAGGCAAUUUCUGAGAGGAUGGGCUAAAAACCUAAACGGGAAGUAUAAAAAAGAAAAACAGGAGCUACUUAAAAGGGCAAAUGAGCUAGAUAAAAAGGCUGAAUCACAGCUGCUAAGUCAGCAAGAAAGUAAUUUAAAGAAUUGCAUUCAAGAUAGACUAGUUCAGCUCCUGAGAGAAGAAGAAAUAAGAUGGUAUCAAAGGGCAAAAAGCAAUAAGCUACUGAAUGGAGAUAACAACACAAAAUAUUUUCAUAUGGUAGCCAAUGGCAAACACAGGAAAACAAGAAUUUUUAGACUGGAACAGGAUGAGAGCAUUAUAGAAGGGGAUGAUAAUCUUAAAAAUUACAUAACUAAAUAUUAUAAAGAACUAUUUGGAUCUCAAUAAAGGAACAUUUGUUCUAUGAACGAAUCCUUGACAGAGGAUAUCCCUCAAGUAUCAAGAGAAGAAAAUGAAAUCUUGACUGAAAAAUUCACAGAAAAGGAGGUCAGAGAAGCUAUCUUUCAAAUGAAGCAUAACAAAGCUCCGGGACCUGAUGGAUUCCCAGUGGAGUUUUACCAAGUAUUCUGGAGUCUCAUUAAAGAUGAUCUAAUGGCCAUGUUUGAAGACUUCCACAAAGGUAAUCUACCACUAUAUUGUUUAAACUUUGGGAUAAUAACUCUAAUCCCAAAACUCCAGGAAGUGAAAAUGAUCCAACAGUAUAGACCAAUAUGUAUGUUAAAUGUCAAUUUCAAAAUCUUCACAAAAGUGAUGGCCAAUACGUUUUCUCUGGUGGCUGAAAAAGUCAUCGCGCCAUCACAGACUGCUUUUAUGCCUGGGAGGUACAUAAUGGAAGGGGUAGUAGUACUUCAUGAAACUAUACAUGAGUUAAGCAGGAAAAAGCAAGAUGGAAUCAUUCUCAAAUUGGACUUUGAGAAAGCCUAUGAUAAGGUUAAUUGGUCUUUUCUUCAACAGGCAUUAAGAAUGAAAGGCUUCUCCUCAAAAUGGUGUGAGUGGAUAGAAAGUAUAGUCAGUAAGGGAAGUGUGGGGGUAAAGGUAAAUGAUGAUAUUGGACAUUUCUUCCAGACAAAAAAAGGUCUUAGACAGGGUGAUCCAUUAUCGCCAAUGCUAUUUAAUAUAGCAGCAGACAUGUUGGCUGUUCUUAUUGCUAGAGCAAAACAUAGCAACCAAAUAAAGGGCCUAGUGCCACAUCUCGUAGAUGAAGGAUUAUCUAUCCUCCAGUACGCAGAUGACACAAUACUCUUCAUGGAAAAUGAUUUAGAGUAGGCAAGAAACUUGAAAGUGGUGCUAAGUACUUUUGAACAACUUUCAGGCCUCAAAAUUAAUUUCCAUAAGAGUGAAUUGUAUUGUUUUGGGGAGGCAAAAAACCAAGUUAAGGUUUAUGUAGAGACAUUUGGGUGCAAGGAAGGAACACUACCAUUUAGAUAUCUUGGAAUUCCAAUGAUGCAUCGCAGAAUUGCAAAAAAGGAUUGGAAAAUGACUGAAGAAAGGUUCCAGAAAAAAUUAGCAAGCUGGAAGGGCAAAUUAAUGUCAGUGGGAGGCAGGUUAGUACUGAUAAAUUCUGUCCUCUCAAGUUUACCAAUAUUUAUGAUGUCCUUUUUUAGAAUACCUAAAGGUGUUCUUAAAAGAUUGGAUUAUUAUAGAUCUCGUUUCUUCUGGCAAAGUGAUGAACACAAAAAGAAAUUUAGGUUGGCCAAAUGGAGUAUCCUUUGUGCACCUAAGAAUGUAGGAGGUUUGGGUAUCUCCAAUCUGGAGGUUCUAAAUAGGUGCUUGCUAAGCAAGUGGUUAUUUAAACUUCUAAAUGAGGAUGGAGUAUGACAAACUUUGCUUAGAAAGAAAUACUUGGUGAACAAGACUCUAACUCAAGUGACAAGGAAGAGGGGAGAUUCACAGUUCUAGGCGGGCCUCAUGGAAAUAAAGGAUCAGUUCCUGUCAAUGGGAACAUUUGAGGUGCACAAUGGAGAAAAAACUAGGUUCUGGGAAGACGUUUGGAUGGGAAAGACAACUUUGAGGGAAAGAUAUGCAUCCCUGUAUAACCUAGUGAGAAGGAAAGAUGACACAGUGGCCAAAGUAUGUGGAUCUGCCCCUCUAAAUGUUUCUUUCAGAAGAGCAUUAACAGGGCACAGAUUGGAAGAAUGGCUAAAAUUAGUGGCUGAUAUUAUAAGUCAUGGUACAGACAGGCAGGAAGACAGAUUUAUUUGGAAUAUGAAUAAAAACAAAGUUUUCUCAGUGAAAUCAAUGUACAGAGAAAUAAUGCAAGCUGAAAGAACACCAUCCAUGUGUGUUGCUUGGAAGUUAAAACUUCCAUUAAAAAUCAAGAUCUUUUUAUGGUAUUUAAAGAAAGGGGUGAUUUUAACAAAGGACAACCUCGCUAAAAGGAGAUGGCAGGGAAGUACCAAUUGUUGCUUCUGCAGAUCAAAAGAGACAGUGCAACAUCUCUUCUUUGAUUGUAAUCUUGCCAGAUUCAUAUGGAGUACGGUUUUCUUUUCGUUUGGAAUUCAACCACCGACGAGUGUUCCUAAUAUGCUGGGAUCUUGGGCUAGAGGGUUUCCUCGGAAGAUUAGAAACCAGAUGAUUAUAGGAGCUGCUGCUCUUUGUUGGGCCAUGUGGUUGAACAGAAACGAUGUACUGUUUAAAGGCACGAUCACUAAUUCCUUCUUGCAGGUAAUCUUCAGAGGGACCUAUAGGACAAGAACAUGGGCGGUGCUAUCAAAGGAGGAAGAGAAAAAUGAAAUGAAGAACAACUGUAGCAGGUUCGAAGGCACUGCCUUGGAAUUCUUCUCCAAUAAGUAUGGC